GACCGUCCAUUCCCAAUCAGACGGCUUAUGCUACCCGAAUACGUGGAUACACGCAUAUAGAACGUAGAUAUAUCGCGAGGAGAAGGCGCUGAGGCCAAUCGCGUCGGGGUCGUUAAAAUAGACGGAAAGAAAUCUUCUCCAUCUCGAUCGGCGCCGACGAACGAGGACGGCAGUCGCUUCUUUGCGUUCGUCUGGGGUGGGGUUGGCGUUGAUACCAGAAUCUUAGGGUUUUUUUGCUAUCUUGGAUCUUUCGAAACCCUACGAUGGAGUGGCUUUGAUAACGGUGAGAGAAAGAAGUUGGUUGAGGUUGGUGAUUUGUUAUCGUGGAAUCGAAUUGAAAGGAUCUUGAUGGAAGAAAAUCCAAGAAAGCAAUCAAGAAGGGAAAGCUUGAAAUGGUUUGGCUAUUUAGAAGAAGAGCCAUUUUGAUUUUCUUCAUCUUCUUAGAAUUUCCACCACCAGAGAGGAUGAUGUCCUACUGAUGACAGUUUUCGAGGUGAUUUUCUGGGUUAGGGCUGGUACCGGAAUCUAAGGGUUUGCUGUCUUGUUUCUUUCGAAACCUUACGAUGGAGAUUGCUUCGAUAACGUGUGAGAAGUUGGUUGAGGUUGGUGAUUUCUCAUCGUGGAAUCGAAUUGAGUGGAUCGUGACGGAAGAAACUUAAAGAAAGCAAUGAAGAAGGGAAAUCCUGACACAGUUCGGUUAUAAAGAAGAAGACCCAUUUUAAUUGUCUUCAUCUUCUUGAAGAUGAUUUCCUAUUGAUGACUGUUUUCAAGGUGAUCUUCUUGAGAUAAUUGUUGGUGAUAUUCUAAGUUAAAUCAGUAAUAUAUUAGCAAGGAAAAGUCCAGAAAGGAAGAACUUCUUGGUGGUCUGCGAUCACGCAGAGAGACCUUUUAGUAGUCUUUAGCUUGAGCAGUUCUAAUGAUGCCACAGCCACCUCCUUUUGUAUGUACUGCUUAUUCGAACCGAAAGAUGUCAUAUGCAAGAGGUGCAGAUACUCUAAGUGAACCGUAAAUGUUAGGAGACUUUAAUGUCUUGCUAGCGGUUGGUUUGUGAUUAUUGCUAAUAGUCACUAUGACCGAGAUCUCAAUAUUGUUUAAACCAAGGAUCAGCACCGGAACAUGUACGUUGUACAGAUCAGUAUACCACCUGGUACGUAGUAUCAUAUGUAUUGUUUGUGGAUAUAAAUUCUAAAAUUCAGUAUCUUGGCAUUUUGUGCUGACAUUUUUAUGGAUGAAAGAGGGACUUGGUCUGAGACCAUAUAGUAAAAAAAAUUAUUUAAGUUCAUUUCUUGCAAAUUUAUUUAAGUUCUGCCAAAUAUUAUUUUCCAGACAUGGGUUUGCCUAAGGAGUUUAUAGAACUCUCUUGAAUUGUUUCCUAGAGAAGCAGGUGGAAUUGUUAAACUCAUGUUCCAUAUUUGUUGUAGUUCUGUGUGAUCAGAAUAUUAUAAACUAAAUCUAGUCAUUCUUUUGCGCUUACAAUCUUAUCUGAAAUUUAAUUCUUCAUCUCUCUUGUGUGUGAGAUGAACCUCAAUGUCUGUUCCAAUUGUAUAUCACCCUAAAAGUAGGGGAAAUGUCGCCUUCUCCCUUGUAGUUUGGUUGUUUUCCUGGCAGGCCCCGUGGUUUUUCUUGUUCAUUUUUUGGCAAAUACCUCCAUGAAACAGUUUUUUCUUUAUCAAAUUCACAUAGGCAUCAUAUGUCGUCCAUGUAGAGGUUACAUAUUAUAUGAAGGCAUCUAAUUCCAUCUCUGAUAGACAUCAAAAUCUUACAUGUAUUAGCACUGGUUCGGUAUCUAUGUGAUGCUUAUGUUGCAUUCAUGUGUUUUAUAGAUGCCACAUGUUAUAUAAAGGCAACAAAUGCAACACGACAUGGGUCCUUAGGAUCUGUGUGUGCUGCCUAGUGCCAUGUGGUUGAUACAUUAGCAUGCUGCAUUGAUGUUUGUCACUUGGGUCCAUGCGAGUGACAUGUUGGUUAGCUUCAUUCUGUCCACGUGAAUAUUAAGCUGAUGGCAUUAGAUCCUGAACCAAGAAUUGUAUAUGAACAAAGCACAGUCUGAGAUCUGCCAAACUAGUGGGGCUGAAGUGCAAAGCGGUCAAACCAUGAGGUAGAGAAAAAUCUUCAACAAUUUAUGAAGUUCUUUAGGCUUUUAAACUGUCUUCAUCAUAGUGCAUCAUUUAGUAUAAUCUGAAUCAUAGGUGUAGGGUGGAUUUGUUCUCAUUCUUUUGCUUGAUCAUCAUUUUUAUGCUACUAUUUAAUGUUGGCCUGGCCUCUUGUUUUUAGUGAUAUUCAGCAUAUAUUGAUGUUAUAGCUGGAUGUUGCAGCUUCUACCUGUCAUAUGCUAAAGUGGUCAUGUUAUGAACAUCUUUCAUUUGUUUUCACAAGGUUGUCAGAUAGUAUUGAUGAAGUUACAAGAAAAUUUGAUUAUGUUGCAAAUGUUCCAACCACAUGUCAUGAUGGCAUCAGAUAGACUGAAUCCAUUUUAAAUGUUGCAAUUUUAGUGGGUGCUGUUAUCCGAAUAUUUAUUAUUAUAAUGAUUUGCUUGGUUUUCUUGAAUAACAUUUUCAUUAAGAGAUGCUUAUAUGAUUAGAUACUUUUUGAGAUGAAGGCCUAAUUUAGCAGUAGUUAGUGGGAUGUUUAUCAUUUAUCUUUUCCCUGUGUUUCUUCUGAUCUUUAUGGUUAAUUUUUGCUGCCUGCCUUCGUUUUCUUUCCAUAUUCUCCUUUGUUGCUUGGCAUCCACAUCUCUGUUCAGUAGUCUAUUUUGCUUCAUUUUUCCAGUACAUUUUUCUAAAAAAAGGUUACCUUGGAUAAAUUGGAAAUCUAUAUGUAAAUACCAAACCAAGCAAAUUUUUUGGUGUAUAAUAGCAACAAUCCAGUGGAAAUUUUUAUUUUAACAAUUGAACAUCAUGGACUUUUAGAUCUGAGCUAUAGAGUUAAUACGAUAAUAGAUUCUUUCACCCUCACUACGGUGCCAAAAUAAGUUGUAUAGGCAUUUAUUAGAUCGAGUUGAUAUAGUGAGAUGAAAGCUGUUGAUAUUUCUACUUUAUCCAUUUAGUACUUUGCAAUGUUGAAAAUUUAUUUUCCAGCAUACUGAUGGUGGAUCCGAUUUCGAGAUAUUUGUGUUGUUAAGAAUGUGUUUCUAUGUUACAUCCCCUUAAUAAUGUGUUGGUUUCGUGAAAGCUGCAGUCAGAAAACAACUUGGUGACCUGUGGUCUUAGAAGAGAGCAAUUAAAAUAAGUUCUAUAAAUACAUGUUUGAGAAAGUGGUGUUAUUGAAAGAGAGAGUCGAAGUAUUCAAAUCGUUUGUGAUUAUAUGUAUAUCAAGAACAGGAUUACUUGAACUAACAGGAACAUGCACUUUUCUCUCUUUUAGCUUGUGACGUUCCCAUAAUGUCAACACUCUGUAAUAGCUCAGUGUAGGUAUGGAUUUAAAACCAACAGUUGCUCCGAGCAGGGCUAAUAGCUGUUUUUGCCAAGUAGGGGGUGCCACGGUGAAGGCCGCAGGUGGUGUAAAAAGUAGGUGCCGUUGCAGCUGCGGCUGCUGUAUCAGCUGUCGUCGCAGCAACAGCAGUGAUCCGAGGAAGCAAACGGAGAAGAGGAAACCAAACUGAAGUUCUCUUUUUAAUUAAUGCCUGUUGCUUCAGAAAAAGGAGGGGAGGGGUAAAUGAUUGCCAGAAGCAAUUUGUUUUGCAUGAGAUGUCAGAGAAGUCCUAGUGAUUGCUUUUGGCAUUUUUGAGUUUUUUUUCCUCUAUUUUUUGGGUUGAUUUGUUUCUUGCCUGAAGCAAGAACACACUGCUGCA